rnacentral:sRNA from 1 species
AAUAGCAGAAACCAAUCCAUGGGCGAUAC